GGGCCCUAGGCUGUGCAGCAUGGCGGUGAUCCGCGCGCCGCUUCCGUGACCUGUAGCCGCGCGUCUGAGUCUGUAGCUGAGCUAGGGUGGGCGCGGGCACCUCCGCGGGGCAGCAGCCGAAGAGGGAACCAUGGGGACAGUGCACGCCCGGAGUUUGGAGCCUCUUCCGGCCAGUGGACCUGACUUUGGAGGUUUGGGGGAAGAAGCUGAGUUUGUGGAAGUUGAACCUGAAGCGAAACAGGAAAUUCUGGAAAACAAAGAUGUGGUGGUUCAGCAUGUUCAUUUUGAUGGACUUGGACGGACUAAGGAUGACAUCAUCAUUUGUGAAAUCGGAGAUGUUUUUAAGGCUAAAAACCUCAUUGAGGUAAUGCGGAAAUCUCAUGAAGCCCGUGAAAAACUGCUUCGCCUAGGAAUUUUUAGGCAAGUGGAUGUUUUGAUCGACACGUGUCAUGGUGAUGAUGCACUGCCGAAUGGAUUAGAUGUCACCUUUGAAGUGACGGAGCUGAGGAGGCUGACGGGCAGUUACAACACCAUGGUCGGCAAUAAUGAAGGCAGUAUGGUCCUUGGCCUCAAGCUCCCCAAUCUCCUAGGACGUGCAGAAAAAGUGACUUUUCAGUUUUCUUACGGAACCAAAGAAACUUCCUACGGCCUGUCGUUCUUCAAACCACAGCCUGGAAACUUCGAGAGAAAUUUCUCUGUAAACUUAUAUAAAGUUACUGGGCAGUUCCCGUGGAGCUCACUCCGGGAGACCGACCGAGGAGUGUCUGCCGAGUACAGUUUUCCCAUAUGGAAGACCAGUCACACCAUCAAGUGGGAGGGUGUGUGGCGGGAACUGGGCUGCCUCUCAAGGACUGCAUCCUUCGCUGUGCGGAAGGAAAGCGGACACUCACUGAAGUCGUCCCUCUCGCAUGCCAUGGUCAUCGACUCUCGGAAUUCAUCUAUCCUGCCGAGAAGAGGGGCCUUGCUCAAAGUCAACCAGGAGCUGGCAGGCUACACUGGAGGGGAUGUGAGCUUCCUCAAGGAAGACUUUGAACUCCAGCUGAAUAAGCCGCUCAUGUUGGAUUCGGUGUUCUCCACGUCUCUCUGGGGUGGAAUGUUGGUGCCCAUCGGUGACAAGCCAUCCAGCAUUGCUGACAGGUUUUACCUGGGAGGUCCCACGAGCGUCCGGGGAUUUAGCAUGCACAGCAUCGGACCCCAGAGUGAAGGAGACUACCUGGGAGGGGAGGCAUACUGGGCUGGGGGCCUGCACCUCUACACCCCGCUGCCCUUCCGGCCAGGCCAGGGUGGCUUCGGAGAGCUUUUCAGAACCCACUUUUUCCUCAACGCGGGCAACUUGUGCAACCUCAAUUAUGGCGAAGGCCCCAAAGCCCACAUCCGGAAGCUGGCUGAAUGCAUCCGCUGGUCCUAUGGAGCGGGCAUCGUCCUCCGGCUUGGCAACAUUGCUCGGUUGGAGCUGAACUACUGCAUUCCUAUGGGCGUGCAGCGGGGUGACAGGAUUUGUGAUGGCGUCCAGUUUGGAGCUGGGAUUCGGUUCCUGUAACUUGAGUCCCCCAGAGCAGCUUGGAUGAGCACCGGACUCUCCCAGGCCACAGGCCUGUUUGGAGGAGACACAGCCAUGCGUCUGUCUGGACACCUGCUUUUCCUGAGGACAUGUGACAGUCUGACCUGCGCAGUCCUGGGCCUAAGAGCUUUCAGGUGACCUCCCCAAAGUGCCUUUCCCUCACAGACCCCUAAAUCUGCUGGUGGGCUUCAACCUACCGGGAGUAGGGCUGAGCUGUGGGUGGCCCCAAGGGACACUGGCCCUGUCAUCACAGGCCACUUCAGUGGCAGCGUGGCCUCCCAGUGCUGGUGUGAUGCUAGGAUACUGAGCAGAGGGGACGUACACUGUCUGCUGAUAGCCAUGGCUGCUCUGCCUGUCACACCAUGACUCGAGCUGCACAGCCAUCAUCAGCAGGGAGCUGAGGUGUCCAGAGGGUCCAUGGGCCCAGGUGCUGCUGGGUAAGGCUGGCUUCUAAAGAUGCCCAGGCUCCCUCUUCAGAGCCAGCAGGCCUGACUCCUGCCUCUGCUCUCUUUUAAGGACCCUUUUGAAAGCAUCGGGUCCCCAGAUGGACCAGACAACCCUAUUUCAAGGCUAGCUGAAGAGCACACUCAGUUCUGUCUGCCACCUGCUCCUCUCGCUCUGGCUUCAUAGAGUUGUUAUCCCUCAGUCUUUAAAAGGGGAUCAGUUGGAAGCCACCCCUUCCUUUGCUUGGAUACCAGUAUCCACAGAUGCUCAGGGCUGUCAUAUAAUAAAAUGUUACAGGAUUUUUGGGGGGUGGGAGACAGGGUCUCACUUAGCUCAGGCUGGCCUUGACCUUUCAGGGAUCCUCACUCAGCCCCUGAAGUGCAGGGAUCACAUGUGCACCCCACAGUGAAGCCACAGUGUCUGCACAUGGACUGCACAUAGGCUGUGAGUCACCUGUAGGUUCCAAUGCAAAGUCUUGAGCCAGGUGGCUAAUUCAAUAUCUGUGAUCCCAGAAGCCAGGAGGAUCAACAUGAGUUCAAGGCCAGCUUGGGCUACGUAAAGACCCCAUCUCAAAAAACAUACUAAAAUAGUUGUACUGAAUUGUUUAGGGAUAAUGUUAAGAGUCUGGAUGUAUUUGGGAUAGACCCAGUUUUUGUGAGAUGCACUAUAUAGCCCAGGAUGACCUUGAGCCUCUGAUCCCCCUGUCUUCGCCUCCCAAAUGCUGGGAUUACAAGCAUGUACCACCACUUUGGAUUUAUGUGAUCAAAGCCAGCAUUUUGUGCCUGCUGGGCAAGUCCUCUACCAACUGAGGCACAUUGCCAGCAGCUCCUGAGUGUUGUCACUCUGCCAUUGGCUGGAAGCUGGGAUGCAGAGCCUGAGGGUAUGCUGGCCAGCUGUGUCCUGAGCUCCAGGCUUGGGACAUGGGCAUCUGUCUACUCUGACUCAGGUCUCUGGGAAGUGGUGUUUUGGGAAUGUUUUUCUAUUUAUUUACAAGAUUUAUUUAUUUAUUAUGUGUAUGGGUAUUUUUGCCUUCAUGUCUAUGUGUGCACCGCAUGGAUGCCUUGUGCCUGUGGAGGUCAGAAAGAGGGUGUUGGAUCCUCAGAAUUGGAGUUACAAAUGGUUGUAGGCCACUCUGUGAAUGCUGGGAAGGUCCUCUGCAAGAGCAGCCAGUGUGCUUAACCACUCCAGCCCCUUGGGGAUAUUCUUAGCUUUAAAAAUUAAUAUAAGUCAGGCAGCGAUGGCACACACCUUUAAUCCCAGCACUCAGGAGGCAGAGGCAGGUGAAUCUGUGGAGUUUGAGGCCAGCCUGGUUUACAGAGCGAUGACCAGCAUGGCCAGAGAGCUACACAGAGAAACCCUGUCUCCACAAACAAACACCAUACACACACACACAAAAAAAAAAGAGAGAGAGAAAAAAAGAAAAAAGAUAUGGGGUGGGGGGAGCGUUAAGCCUCCUCUGAAGUCUUUGAAAACACAGGGUGUGUCUGGGAUCUCAGCACUGGCCUGUCCUCCCCGUGGCCUUUAUGUCUUUGCUAAAUGACUUUGGGGCUUGGGGGUCUGCCUGCACCCAGCCCCACCCUGGGGUCCCAGGCCCCUGCAGACCUCCCUCUCCUUACCACCUGCAGUGGGAACUGGUAUUGGCGGAGGAUAAACGUGUUCCCUUCAGUGGCUGGGAGAGUUGCCAGUUGUUUGCACUUUCUCACUGAUGCUUUUUAACAGAAGAAGGAACCCAUUUAGGGUCCUGACGUUGGGAGCUGCGGAAACUGUGUGACACAGAUUUGCAGACCCCAUGACCCUUGAGAACCCAGAAAAGGCACUUGGGAAAGUCUGGUUUUAAUCAAGGCUGUGCUGCCCUGGGAGCUGCCUCUGGCUCCUUAAUGAAAGCAGCCUGGCUGUCUCCUGGCCAGACCUGUUGGAUUUGCAGGCUGCCCUGCAGGCUGCUCUGGGGUGAGCAAGAGGAGGUGGUGGGCCAAGGUGGAAGCCAGAGACCCAGGGGAGAAAGGUGACUUCUCUCCCUUCUCAGAGUGUGGUGGACUGACCAGAGCCAGCAGUCUCAAAAAGGGCUUUCAGAAGCCCGGCUAGAAAGCUAAGGAGGGCAGGCAGCUCCUUUGUGGGCCCUGGCCCAGAUUCUCUGCAGCUUAAUGCUUCAUUUCUCCUCAGCAUGUGGAAGGAAGGAUCUAGGCGGGGACAGCGUUUGCCAUGUGUUUAAUUAACCUUUGCUCCACUCUGUAAGGGACCGGUCUUGUAGCCAGCUUGCGUCUUCCUACAAGGACACCAGAUUCCUUCUUGGAGUGUGCUGGCUCAGUCAUCUGUGCAUCCCCAGGCUGACUGUCCUGAAACUUAUCUUGAUACUUAGAGGAGAGCUGUAGUGAUGGCGCCCAUCCCCCAGUGUCUGGGCCAAGGCGACUCAGGAGCCGCUGGGCCGUCCCUCUUGGCUUUCUGUCCUGAGUUUGCCUCAUUUCUGGUCUCCUGGAAAGCCCUUCCUGAGGCUCUGGUCUCCCCAACAUGAUUCUAUGCUAUUGCACAGUGGUCACUGGGGGGAAACGGGUUCCUUAGUAAUCUCAAUCUUACAAUGCUAACGUGUCACAAUUGCCCCAAAUAAAAAGAUUCCACUAAUACCAUCA